AUUGAACGCUGGCGGCAGGCCUAACACAUGCAAGUCGAGCGGAUGAAGGGUGCUUGCUCCUGGAUUCAGCGGCGGACGGGUGAGUAAUGCCUAGGAAUCUGCCUGUUAGUUGGGGAGAACGUCCGGAAACGGGCGCUAAUACCGCAUACGUCCUGAGGGAGAAAGGGGGGGAUCUUCGGACCUCCCGCUAUCGGACGAGCCGAGGUCGGAUUAGCUAGUUGGUGGGGUAAAGGCCUACCAAGGCGACGAUCCGUAACUGGUCUGAGAGGAUGAUCAGUCACACUGGAACUGAGACACGGUCCAGACUCCUACGGGAGGCAGCAGUGGGGAAUAUUGGACAAAGGGCGAAAGCCUGAUCCAGCCAUGCCGCGUGUGUGAAGAAGGUCUUCGGAUUGUAAAGCCCUUUAAGUUGGGAGGAAGGGCAGUAAGUUAAUACCUUGCUGUUCUGACGUUACCCAAAGAAUAAGCACCGGCUAACUUCGUG
rnacentral:rRNA from 1 species